GAGCCGUCACACGGAAUC
rnacentral:snRNA from 1 species